rnacentral:lncRNA from 1 species
GGACAGGGUUUCUCCGUAUAGUCCUGGCUGUCCUGGACCUCACAUUGUAGAUCAGACUGGCCUCAAACUCAGAAAUCCGCCUGCCUCUGCCUCCCAAGUGAUGGGAUUAAAGGCGUGCGCCACCACCUCCUGGCUCAUCUCUUCACUUUUAUACUGCAGUUCCUAGAGCUAUAGUUUUAAUUUAUAAGACCUUUUUCUGCUCUAGAAUGUUGUGUUCUUGGGAAUUAUUACAUGGAAGAUGGGCUCUAUUGAGGCAACAAAAUGAUUUGAUAUAAGCUCUGCGUUGUGGAAUAGUUAAGCAAAAAGGAAUGAACAUGGUUCAGUGGUAACAGGACCAGCUGCUUCCCCCAGAAGACCCAGGUUCAAUUCCUAGCACCCACUGGAUGCUAACAACUGUCUAUAGCUAUAGUCCCAUGGAUUUGAUACCCUCUUUUGGUGUACAGAUAUACAUGCAGACAAAAUACCCGUAUACAUAAAAUACACAAGUAAAUAAACCUUUAAAAAAAAAACU